rnacentral:rRNA from 1 species
AUUGAACGCUGGCGGCAGGCCUAACACAUGCAAGUCGAACGGAGCGGCGGACGGGUGAGUAAUGCGUAGGAAUCUGCCUGGUAGUGGGGGAUAACGUCCGGAAACGGGCGCUAAUACCGCAUACUAUCAGAUGAGCCUCGGUCGGUUUAUCGAGUUGGUGGGGUACAGGCCUACCAAGGCGACGAUCCGUCAAUGGUCUGAGAGGAUGAUCAGUCACACUGGAACUGAGACACGGGCCAGACUCCUACGGGAGGCAGCAGUGGGGAAUAUUGGACAAUGGGCGAAAGCCUGAUCCAGCCAUGCCGCGUGUGUGAAGAAGGUCUUCGGAUUGUAAAGCACUUUAAGUUGGGAGGCGUUACCAACAGAAUAAGCACCGGCUAACUUCGUGCCAGCAGCCGCGGUAAUUC